AUCCUAACUGUUGCUCUGUGAGGACGACAUUGACGAGUUUGUUCAAUUAAGAACCAACGCUACAAUACUUUCAAAAUGAAGUUUUCCUUUGCAAUCUUGAUUGUAGCCUUGGCAGCAGCACUCCUGGCGGCCGUCAUUGCUGCCGAAGAGAUAAC